GUGAGAGUCUCUCCGUCCUCCGUGUGCUGCUGGGCUCUGCUCCACCCCCCCUCCUCCUGCUCUCCUGCACUGUACACUGACUUCCGGGUACAGGAGAGACGACGGCUGCAGCUGCUGCUUAUCACAGCAAGUGAAGUCUCUCCCUCCAUUCCCUCCCACCCCUCGUGCAAGUGCUCCUUAUAUUGUAGGAGGUGGUUUCGUGGCACGACUACAGCAAAUGGACAACAGCUGAGGUGUUCCUGGAGCCAAGGAUCACUGGUUCCCAGAAUAUGAUGACAGUGAAAUCUUCCUUGGCCACUGAACUGCAGGAGGAAACAGAGACUGAGGCCCACUGGUCCCUAUUGGCAAUCGGUCAACUGUUAGUGUGGUUGUUAAGGUGAUGGGCUGCACAUGAUGAUGAACCGCUGCUGAUGUCAGCGGCUAUGCACUGCCAGGAGCAGGUGGGUGAUCCACCUUCCAUACGCGGCAUUUCACUAUGGUGUUAAGGUAUAUAAGGUGGCUUCACUACGUUGUAUGGUCAUUGAUCACGUUCCUGAACCUUUGAGAGGUGGUGACCAAGUUCUUACUCUGAAGAAGUGUGAAGCUCGAUGGAUUUAUAGACUUGAGACCGUCACUCCACGUGGUCUGAAUGAACACAAUCCGUUGAAUAUUUUUAUUCAUUAAUUACGAGUAGUGGGAAUCAUAUAUUGAUUUCUGUUUGUGGGAGGCAUAGUGUUGUUAGUGUUAUUGUUAGCAACAAAUUUUUUUCUAUUUAUCAUUUAUUAUUUCUUGUUUAAUUGGUGUAUGUAUUUGUUGGUGGUUGAUUUCUGCCGUUUCCUCUUCUAUAGCAUCUAGAUGUAGAGCUGUAGUAUGGCUUAUUUUAACAAGCUGGUUAUAUAUUUGUAUAAUAUCCUUAAUGAGAUGUUUAUUAUUAUAUAGGGGUUAUACCUUAGCGCAAUUGAUGGUUUAUUUAUUAUAUGUCACCGGUGGUAUAAUGUCUCUAUAGGUUUAUAAUGAUCCUGCGCUAUUGAUAUAAAUUAAGAUUAUCUUUACUUAAACCUCUAAAGUAAACAGUGUGACAUAUUGAUUCUUCUGUCUACUGUUGAUGCUGGUGCUGUGGAGCAUAUCCCGGAGUGCUGGUGGAACGCAUGCGAUGCGCUUGCGGCACUUCUGGGUUUGCGUUCCACAGACAUAGUGUAGGGUUGUUAUGGCGACCGGUGGAACGCGAAUGAUGUACUUCCGGUAUUUCUGGGUGUGUGGUCCGCGUCCACAGCUGGUACUAAUCGGUAAUGAGUGUGUAUUACCUUGUUCCUGUGACAUGUAUUGGGGCGCUGGGUUAGCUAUUCUAAGCUUGAAGUUAUAUUAUAUACAUGGUUUGGUAAUAAAGCUGCAGUGUGUUUUACUCGCUUAUGGUGAUUACAUAAUUGAUUGUGAUGCAGAAUGCUAUAUAAGGGGACCAGGUAGGCAGUGUCGGUAUGCUUGUAGCUGUCAUGCUGACUGGAUGUCUUCUUUGACUGUCUUGAGAAAGGCCCUAUGGGUCGAAACGUCUACUAUCUACUGGUGAUUUUGAUGUACCAAUAAAAAGUCUUUUAUACUUACUUUGGACUGGU